UGCUUGCCAACAACAGGAGAUACGAGCCUUAGAGAGAUACAUACGGCGCCUUGAGUUUCAAAUUAGUAAGGUUGAAGAGCUGUAUGAGUCCUAUUGUAUCCAGUGGCGGCUCUGCCAAGGAGCUUUGAACAUGAAGAGAGCUUUCUCUCUGUCCCUGUCUUCACGACAGUCUAGAGAGAGUCUACUGGAGCUGAACCGCAACCACAGACACAGCCUGGAGGAUAUGUGUGCAAUGGAAGGAGAACUGGAAAUCCUGCUGGGCGAGCUGCAAAUCAAAAUGAAAGGGUUGAUAGGAUUUGCUCGACUCUGCCCUGGAGAUCAGUAUGAGGU